CUGGCGGCGUGCCUGAUACAUGCAAGUCGAGCGCACUGAAAGGAGAGCUCGCUCUCCUUUUAGUCAGCGGCGGACGGGUGAGUAACACGUGGGUAACCUGCCUGUAAGACCGGGAUAACUCGCGGAAACGCGAGCUAAUACCGGAUAGGUCCCGUGGCCGCAUGGCGACGGGAGGAAAGAUGGCGCGAGCUAUCGCUUACAGAUGGGCCCGCGGCGCAUUAGCUAGUUGGUGGGGUAACGGCCCACCAAGGCGACGAUGCGUAGCCGACCUGAGAGGGUGAUCGGCCACAUUGGGACUGAGACACGGCCCAAACUCCUACGGGAGGCAGCAAUAGGGAAUCUUCCGCAAUGGGCGAAAGCCUGACGGAGCAACGCCGCGUGAGCGAAGAAGGCUUCGGGUCGUAAAGCUCUGUUGUCAGGGAAGAACGAGUACCGGAGUAACUGCCGGUACUUGACGGUACCUGACCAGAAAGCCCCGGCUAACUACGUGCCAGCAGCCGCGGUAAUACGUAGGGGGCGAGCGUUGUCCGGAAUCAUUGGGCGUAAAGCGCGCGCAGGCGGUCGCUUAAGUCUGAUGGUGAAAUCUUGCGGCUCAACCGCAAGGGGUCAUUGGAAACUGGGGGACUUGAGUGCAGGAGAGGGAAGCGGAAUUCCAUGUGUAGCGGUGAAAUGCGCAGAGAUAUGGAGGAACACCAGUGGCGAAGGCGGCUUCCUGGCCUGUAACUGACGCUCAGGCGCGAAAGCGUCGGGAGCAAACAGGAUUAGAUACCCUGGUAGUCCACGCCGUAGACGAUGAGUGGCUAGGUGUUGGAGGGGUUUACGCCUUCAGUGCUGGAGCUUGCCGUAACCCG
rnacentral:rRNA from 1 species